UCCACCAGCGGUGACUUGGAGAAGACCAAAGUAAGAGUGCAAGAACUGCUGGCACAGUUGCAGCAAGAAACACAUGCCAGAGAAAUUGACUUAGGAUUUGUUUCGACUGGCAAUCUGGCAUUGGAAUCUUUAUUAAGUUUAACUUCAAGACGGGCUGGUGAAUGGUUUAAAGAAGAACUUCGUUCAUUUGGUGGCCUUGAUCACAUUGUGGAUUCUGUGACAAACUGUGAGAAAAAUCUACCUGAAGACUUGACACAGGAUAUCCAGAAUGCACUGCCUGUUUUGAGGAAGCUAGAUAGAUGUUUGAGAGUUCUGGAAAAUGUAAGAUAGGUUUCUAAGUUGUUGGUUCCAAAUUGACCUUUGAUUCUGUAUUCUCAGUAUAAAGUUAGAAUAUCCAUUUUUUUUACAAAUUGUGUUGAAAUAGACAAAUCUUUAAAGCUAUUCAAAUGUUUAAAAUACUUAUCUCAAUAACACAAAUUAUUCUAAUCAUUGAUAACAAAUAACUUGAUUGAUAAAGUUUAUCAUUAACUUGUCAGCUAUUUUAGACAGGACAGUAAAAUUUUAUGAAAACAUUCACUUCGUGACUAUGU
rnacentral:sRNA from 1 species